CCUACGGGAGGCAGCAGUGAGGAAUAUUGGUCAAUGGACGAGAGUCUGAACCAGCCAAGUAGCGUGAAGGAUGACUGCCCUAUGGGUUGUAAACUUCUUUUAUAUGGGAGUAAAAUGUUCCACGUGUGGGAUUUUGUCUGUACCAUAUGAAUUAGGAUCGGCUAACUCCGUGCCAGCAGCGGCGGUAAUACGGAGGGUCCGAGCGUUAUCCGGAUUUAUUGGGUUUAAAGGGAGCGUAGGUGGAGUGUUAAGUCAGUUGUGAAAGUUUGCGGCUCAACCGUAAAAUUGCAGUUGAAACUGGCAGGCUGGAGUGCAGUAGAGGUGGGCGGAAUUCGUGGUGUAGCGGUGAAAUGCUUAGAUAUCACGAAGAACUCCGAUGGCGAAGGCAGCUCACUGGACUGCAACUGACACUGAGGCUCGAAAGUGUGGGUAUCAAACAGGAUUAGAUACCCGUGUAGUC
rnacentral:rRNA from 1 species